rnacentral:sRNA from 2 species
AGUGACUAUCAGUGCUAUCUUAUCACAGUGAUGAUAUAUAUUGAAGAUGAUAUCUAGCAAUGCAUUGCUUUCUAAUAAUCAAUAAGCUCUAUUCAAUUACAAAUAGAAUGAAUAUGAUAGGCUGCCGUACUUACUAGCGACUUGAGCCGAUGCCGAGGCUAAAGUAUUUUUCAUACGAACUGGUUAACCGACGUAACUAGUGGGGGCUCCGCUGGCAAUUGAAAUUGAAAAAUUAAUACAUGGGCAGUCACUGUAUAUUUGAAAUUGGAGUGGCUGAUCGAUGCGGGGAUUAUGGAUGUAUCUAGGUGUAUAUGGAGUGAGUGAACAGAGCGUGUAUGGAAUUUGGCAUUUAAGUCCACUGGCUGUGUUGAUGAUAUCGGCCACUAUGUCUUUUCUUUCAUCCUGAGAACUUCUCUAUGCACACGUUUUAAUUUCCAUUAGAGAAGAAGGGAGUAAUCGGCCCAGUAGACCGGCUCUAGAUCAAUUCCCACAAUUGUCUCCUGGAAUGUUAUUAGGACUGGGAUGACACGAUAAAAUUCCGACCUCCUUAGCCAGGAGUAGGAACAAAAGAAAAAAAAAGAAAAGCAAAUAAUCACACAUGGUUGAUAACCAGUCUCCAAGCUAUAUGUCCGAGAACAGCAUUAGAAACAACGGGCCGGACGCCAUAGCUUUGGAAAGAUUCAAGUUGUGCGAACU